CCCCUUUAGACCUAGCCCGCUCUCCACCAAUCAGGAGUGAGCUCCGCCGGGCGGCAGCGCCUGCUUCUACCUUAGCGAGCGAGGAAAGCUGAGGAGCGCGGAGUCUCUUAAAGGGUGGAUAAACUUUAAAGUUAUGUGCUGAACAAAUAGAUGCAGGAAUGUGCAGAGGAGCCCUUUAUAUUUUCAGAUCUGAGUAUGCAGAGGAUUAUGGCGGAUUUGUUGGACUACAGCGAUGAACAGCAUUUUUUUUAUUUUAAUAAAAUGGCUAACGAGGGCUGUGAGGGACUGUUUUUAAAAAUAAAAAAUAAAAUACGUUUUCU